AUAUCAAUAAGCGGAGGAAAAGAAACUAACAAGGAUUCCCUUAGUAACGGCGAGUGAAGCGGGAAAAGCUCAAAUUUUAAAUCUGAUAGGGUUCCCCUAUCCGAGUUGUAGUUUCAAGAAACGUUUUCGGUUCGCGCCUGGGUAUAAGUCCUUUGGAACAGGGCAUCAUAGAGGGUGAGAAUCCCGUUUAUGACUCGGAGCGGCAAACUAUGUGAUACGUUUUCAAAGAGUCAGGUUGUUUGGGAAUGCAGCCUAAAAUGGGUGGUAAAUUUCAUCUAAAGCUAAAUAUUGGCGAGAGACCGAUAGCGAACAAGUACCGUGAGGGAAAGAUGAAAAGAACUUUGAAAAGAGAGUUAAACAGUAC
rnacentral:rRNA from 1 species